GAGCGCGAGCUCCGACACGGCGUGAGGACGGGGGAGCAGAGCGGAGGCCCCGGCGCAGAGGCAAGGCGGAUUCAGGGUCACAGCCCCCGCGGCCGCCGGGCUUGGGGCCUGCAGCACGGGGUGGGCCCGUCCGUUUCUGUCAUGCUCCCCCCCACCACGGGAGCCCCGGGAGACACGCGGACCGUGGGGCCGUCGUGAGAGGUGCUGCCAGGGUGGCGCCUGCUGGGGAGCCAGCGUUGGUGCCCCUCCCGCGCCGCGCGGUGGGUGGUGCAGGGGGCUGGGAGGGGCACGCGCAGGCCGGGCUCACGCCAAGCCAGGCCGGUCCGAGCGCCCCAAGGCCGGUCCGGCCUCCGUUUCCCACCGACACCGGGAGGCCGAGGACGCGCGGCUGCUGGACCUGCUGGAGGCCGGGCGCCCGGGACCGAGCCCGCCUGCAGACUCCCGGCGGGGUCCUCCGCCCGCCGCGCUCAGCGCUGUGCCUGCCCGGCCGGAGGCGCCCCGAAGCGGGCCGCGCAGUGGGGUCCGGCCCUGGGGCGCAGCUCCGCCUUCCCCGCCCUGCGCGCCUGGAGGGGACCCGGGGACCCCGCGAGGGAGGCCCAGCCGCAGCCGGACGUGGGGCUCGCGGGUGCCGCAGGGAGCUGGGGGGGAGGGGAGGGGGGAGGGGAGGGGGAGCGGGCGGCCCUCGGUGCGGCCCUCGGUGCUCCCCACGUCCGGAUUCUCCUGCCACUGACGCUGUGUGGUCGCGUGACAUUGGCCGCCCCGGGGUCCCGGGUGCGAGCGGCGGGCUCGGGAGAGCGGGCGCAGGGCCACGGCUGGAGUGGGCCGUGCUGCCCGCCCCGCCCCGCCCAGCCCCGCCCGCCCGCCGAGCCCGGAAGGAAAGUGAGGGUGUAGCGCCCCCUCAUGGCGAACCCACGUUACGGCGGCGCAGGAGGGCAGGGCCUGGGGCUGCGGCAGGGGGCAGGGGCUGCGGGCAGGGGCAGGGGCUGCAGGGGCAGGGGCCCCACGACACCCAGGCGGUGGGAAAUGAGCCUUCCUCCGGGCGGCCCUCCCCCAGGCCAGCACCAGCCUGCUGUCCCCCGACAGCCGAUUCCCUCACGCGGGUCCCAAUUACUGGUAAGUGGCCAGGAACACUGAACAGACAGGAACCAAGACCCCCACCCACACCCGCACCCCAGAGCCCGGAAUGA
rnacentral:lncRNA from 1 species